rnacentral:rRNA from 1 species
AUUGAACGCUGGCGGCAUGCCUUACACAUGCAAGUCGAACGGUAACGGGCCUUCGGGUGCCGACGAGUGGCGAACGGGUGAGUAAUGCAUCGGAACGUACCUUUCAGUGGGGGAUAACGUAGCGAAAGUUACGCUAAUACCGCAUAUUCUGUGCGCAGGAAAGCAGGGGAUCGCAAGACCUUGCGCUGAUUGAGCGGCCGAUGUCAGAUUAGCUAGUUGGUGAGGUAAAGGCUCACCAAGGCGACGAUCUGUAGCGGGUCUGAGAGGAUGAUCCGCCAAACUGGAACGGAGACACGGUCCAGACUCCUACGGGAGGCAGCAGUGGGGAAUUUUGGACAAUGGGGGCAACCCUGAUCCAGCCAUGCCGCGUGAGUGAAGAAGGCCUUCGGGUUGUAAAGCUCUUUCGGCCGGGAAGAAAUCGCAUGGGUUAAUACCCUGUGCGGAUGACGGUACCGGCAUAAGAAGCACCGGCUAACUACGUGCCAGCCGCCGCCGUAA